CACGUAGGGCGCAAGCGUUUGUCCGGAAUUAUUGGGCGUAAAGAGCUCGUAGGCGGUCUGCCACGUCCGCUGUGAAAACCUAGGGCUUAACCCUGGGCUUGCAGUAGAUACGGGCAGACUAGAGGUAGGUAGGGGAGAAUGGAAUUCCCGGUGUAGCGGUGAAAUGCGCAGAUAUCGGGAGGAACACCGGUGGCGAAGGCGGUUCUCUGGGCCUUACCUGACGCUGAGGAGCGAAAGCGUGGGGAGCAAACAGG
rnacentral:rRNA from 1 species